rnacentral:lncRNA from 1 species
GUGCCAGUUCAAUCAGUAUGACCUAACCCAAUUCAGUGACUUGAUAAAAUCCGUGGAAGGAUUAUAGUCUACUAAUUGAUUUAUUCUUCUCUUCUCUCUUCUUUAAAUUGAUUAAACUCUCUAAAUUAUUAGGUUCCUAAAAUGAGCUGGUUAUAAUGAUAACUAGAUCAUAACCUCCCAUUGAGGUAAGUGAUAAUGGGUCCAUUAUUUGUGAUUAACAUUGCAGGU